UGGACUACAGACCCUGUGACAAAUGCCCAGUAUCAAAUAAACGCAGAAGGUGCUCUAACCUGGUUCCAAGCUAGUAAAAGUUGCCAACAACAAGGUGCCAAUUUGUUGAGUAUCACAGAGAUACACGAACAAAUGUACCUUACAGGGUUAACUUCUACUUUGAGUACUGCACUCUGGUUUGGUCUUAAUAGUUUGGAUUUCAACAGUGGCUGGCAAUGGAGUGGUGGCUAUCCUUUCAGAUAUCUAAAUUGGGCACCCGGAAGCCCUUCCCCAGAGCCUGGGAAGAUCUGUGGAGUACUAAAUCCUGGUAAAGCAGCCAAGUGGGAAAACCUGGAAUGCGAUAAAAAAAUUGGUUACAUUUGUAAAAAAGGAAAUUCCACUCUGAACAACUUCAUUAUUC